GUUAAACAAUUUUAAAAGAUCUGCCGCCGUCGUCACCCGUUCGCCCACAGCCGCCUUAAAACGAAUUAUAUAGACCGUCGGCGUCGGCGGGUCUUUGAUCUCGACAUUUUGAGGCCGAUAUACAACAAUCUGACUGACAUAUCCACUUCCAUUGAGCCAAUAGAGCAUCCCUUCUUUUUCAUCGAAAAAUCGAUAUGCGAUCAGUUGUCCGUUAUUAUCGUUGAUCUUGUACAGGACGUGAUCGCCCCCAUUGGGUGCACCAUUUCUUUUUUCCUGUCCGCCUUCAACGGUUUUCUUCGCACCACCGCAAGCUUUCAAAACGUCAUCAAGACUGCUGCCAAUCCGUAUCCCGUUGGUUGUACAACCUUGAUACCCGGGUAGUC
rnacentral:rRNA from 1 species